rnacentral:rRNA from 1 species
AAGAGCUCAUCAUUGGAAUCUGGCGGUGUUGCACCGUCCGAGUUGUAGAUGAGGAGUGGUUCGUCUGGACUGCAUGGCGUCCAAGUACAAUAGGCCGUCAGUGGGACAUCAUAGAGGGUGACAAUCCCGUCCUUGACGCCAAUGUGCAAGUCCAUUACGAUGGCCAUCUCAGAGAGUCGAGCAGUUUGGGAUUUGCUGCUUAAACAUGGGAGGUAGAUUCCUUCUAAAGCUAAAUACAGGCAAGAGACCGAUAGAGAACAAGUACCGCAAGGGAAAGAUGAAAUAGCACUCUGUGAAGGGAGUCAAAAGGCGUGAAAUUGUUGCGAUAGAAGCGAUUCAAGUCAGCGUAGCUAGGCCCAUUAAGCGUCUUUGCGCUUUGGACUAGCUUUGCCAGCGGUCUUGUCCUUAGAGACUUGACUUGUAUGUCCAGCCUGGUAUGCACAGGUAGCCCUCCGGGGGCAGUGACAUGGCUGGUGGAAUGGCUUGCAAUCGACCCGUCUUGAAACACGGACCAAGGAGUCUAACAUGUAUGCGAGUAUAAGGGUGGCAAACCCGUAUGCGCAAUGAAAGUGAUUUUCGGUGAUUGAGAAUGGCCUGAUGACCAGACAAGCAAUAUAUGUCCCUCGUACGGCCAUUGCCCAAGUUCCGUGGUAGAUCCCACGAACAUGGAGUUGGAGCAUACAUGCUAGGACCCGAAAGAUGGUGAACUAUGCCUGGACAAAGCGAAGCCAAAGGAAACUCUGGUGGAGGCUUGUAGCGAUUCUGACGUGCAAAUCGAUCGUCUGAUCUGGGUAUA